CUUAAUUUUUUAAUCAAUAGAAACGUUUGCUCUCAGAUUUUUUUUUUUUUCAAAUACGGAUUGUCAUUUAUUUCUUUUUCCUGAUUUCCUGAAUUGCAAUCAUCACUUAAAUAAAUCCAUGCAAAGACAACAAAAUAGAAAAAGAAAAAAAAAAAGUUAAUACACAUCGCUCGUUUUAUGCGUUAACGAUCAACGGUCAUCAUCAAAUAUAUCACCAGUAAAGCUGAUCACUUGAUCCGACGGCAGAGAGUGAUCCCAUCACCAACAGGGAGCAUGCAGAUCUCAAUUCUGGGGUCCGCCGGUAAGGCCUUGUUGAGCUCCAUCACAAAGUCUCUGUAGUACUUAACAUACUUCCUGAGGGGUGCAUCUGGUGGUGCCACCACAGACCCAUUCCAUAGGGUAUUGUCGUACCCGAUCACUCCACCAACUUUGACCAGCUCAAUCAAUCUCUUGUGGUAAUUCAGAUAAUUGUCUU
rnacentral:misc_RNA from 1 species